rnacentral:rRNA from 1 species
AAAAUAUAAAUUAUUUAAAACUUUCAACAACGGAUCUCUUGGUUCCGGCAUCGAUGAAGAACGCAGCGAAAUGCGAUACGUAAUGUGAAUUGCAAAUUCAGUGAAUCAUCGAGUCUUUGAACGCACAUUGCGCCCCCUGGUAUUCCGGGGGGCAUGCCUGUCCGAGCGUCAUUGCUGCCCUCAAGCACGGCUUGUGUGUUGGGCCCCGUCCUCCGAUCCCGGGGGACGGGCCCGAAAGGCAGCGGCGGCACCGCGUCCGGUCCUCGAGCGUAUGGGGCUUUGUCACCCGCUCUGUAGGCCCGGCCGGCGCUUGCCGAUCAACCCAAAUUUUUAUCCAGGUUGACCUCGGAUCAGGUAGGGAUACCCGCUGAACUUAAGCAUAUCAAUAAGCGGAGGAAAAGAAACCAACAGGGAUUGCCCCAGUAACGGCGAGUGAAGCGGCAAGAGCUCAAAUUUGAAAGCUGGCUCCUUCGGGGUCCGCAUUGUAAUUUGUAGAGGAUGCUUCGGGAGCGGUCCCCAUCUAAGUGCCCUGGAACGGGACGUCAUAGAGGGUGAGAAUCCCGUAUGGGAUGGGGUGUCCGCGCCCGUGUGAAGCUCCUUCGACGAGUCGAGUUGUUUGGGAAUGCAGCUCUAAAUGGGUGGUAAAUUUCAUCUAAAGCUAAAUAUUGGCCGGAGACCGAUAGCGCACAAGUAGAGUGAUCGAAAGAUGAAAAGCACUUUGAAAAGAGAGUUAAAAAGCACGUGAAAUUGUUGAAAGGGAAGCGCUUGCGACCAGACUCGCUCGCGGGGUUCAGCCGGCAUUCGUGCCGGUGUACUUCCCCGCGGGCGGGCCAGCGUCGGUUUGGGCGGUCGGUCAAAGGCCCUCGGAAGGUAACGCCCCUAGGGGCGUCUUAUAGCCGAGGGUGCAAUGCGACCUGCCUAGACCGAGGAACGCGCU